AAUAGUUAAUGAGCUUGAAUAGCAUAUGUUUUGAAAACAUAAGAUAAAAACUAUAAUUUUUUAUUAACUUUUUGUACUUAAUAAUGUUCA
rnacentral:tRNA from 1 species